AUUGAACGCUGGCGGCAUGCUUUACACAUGCAAGUCGAACGGCAGCGCGGGCUUCGGCCUGGCGGCGCGUGGCGAACGGGUGAGUAAUGCAUCGGAACGUGCCCAGUAGUGGGGGAUAGCCCGGCGAAAGCCGGAUUAAUACCGCAUACGACCUGAGGGUGAAAGCGGGGGACCGAAAGGCCUCGCGCUAUUGGAGCGGCGGAUGUCGGAUUAGCUAGUUGGUGGGGUAAAGGCUUACCAAGGCGACGAUCCGUAGCUGGUCUGAGAGGGCGACCAGCCACACUGGGACUGAGACACGGCCCAGACUCCUACGGGAGGCAGCAGUGGGGAAUUUUGGACAAUGGGGGCAACCCUGAGCCAGCCAUGCCGCGUGCGGGAAGAAGGCCUUCGGGUUGUAAACCGCUUUUGUUCGGGAAGAAAUCCUCUGGGCUAAUACCCCGGGGGGAUGACGGUACCGGAAGAAUAAGCACCGGCUAACUACGUG
rnacentral:rRNA from 1 species